AGAGUUUGAUCAUGGCUCAGAUUGAACGCUGGCGGCAGGCCUAACACAUGCAAGUCGAGCGGUAGCACAGAGAGCUUGCUCUCGGGUGACGAGCGGCGGACGGGUGAGUAAUGUCUGGGAAACUGCCUGAUGGAGGGGGAUAACUACUGGAAACGGUAGCUAAUACCGCAUAAUGUCGCAAGACCAAAGUGGGGGACCUUCGGGCCUCAUGCCAUCAGAUGUGCCCAGAUGGGAUUAGCUAGUAGGUGGGGUAACGGCUCACCUAGGCGACGAUCCCUAGCUGGUCUGAGAGGAUGACCAGCCACACUGGAACUGAGACACGGUCCAGACUCCUACGGGAGGCAGCAGUGGGGAAUAUUGCACAAUGGGCGCAAGCCUGAUGCAGCCAUGCCGCGUGUGUGAAGAAGGCCUUCGGGUUGUAAAGCACUUUCAGCGGGGAGGAAGGCGAUAAGGUUAAUAACCUUGUCGAUUGACGUUACCCGCAGAAGAAGCACCGGCUAACUCCGUGCCAGCAGCCGCGGUAAUACGGAGGGUGCAAGCGUUAAUCGGAAUUACUGGGCGUAAAGCGCACGCAGGCGGUCUGUCAAGUCGGAUGUGAAAUCCCCGGGCUCAAC
rnacentral:rRNA from 1 species